CGUGCACCGAAGGAUGGUAGACGACGAUGUUUUAAGAUUAAAUAGUAUCUUACGAAAUUGAAUAUUGUUACGUAUUUUCUCUCGAUUAGCAUCCGCCUGUUUGUAACGUGCCAACGUAACAGCUGGUGGACCUUUACAUUUCAAUGAAAUGUCUACUAAGUGUAUGGAUGAAAGUUUAGAAGAAGGUUGCACACUGCAACAACAUUACUGUAUAACGCUGGGUGUAGGGCCUCUGUGGUGGUCCUGAUGUGCCCCAUGCCGCAUUGUCUGUAUCCACAGUCAACACAGAGAGCCGCGGCGUGGGGAUCAAGCAGAGUCAGCUCUCUGUGAGCUCCCACAUUGUACAAGAGGAUGAAUUAUUAAAAGCCGUGCGAAAUAGUGAAUCUUUGCGUUUGACCUUCACGUUACACUUGACCGAGAGCACAUCCGUCGAGUGGGA